rnacentral:pre_miRNA from 1 species
CGUGUGCUGGUGUGGUCCCUCGGCCUGGCCUGUGGACAUCCCCCAAGGGGUUCCAGAUUGCAAGAGGGCACAGACCAGGCUGAGGGACCCUACCAGUGCACG